GGCGCAAGGGUGCGUAACACGUGGGUAAUCUGCCUUGAAGCCCGGAAUAACUCCGAGAAAUCGGAGCUAAUACCGGAUGUGAUGUUUGGAUGGCAUCAUUUGAACAUCAAAGUUGGGGACCGUAAGGCCUGACACUUCUAGAUGAGCCCGCGGCCUAUCAGCUAGUUGGUGAGGUAACGGCUCACCAAGGCGAAGACGGGUAGCUGGUCUGAGAGGACGACCAGCCACACUGGAACUGAGACACGGUCCAGACACCUACGGGUGGCAGCAGUCGAGAAUUCUUCACAAUGGGCGCAAGCCUGAUGGAGCGACGCCGCGUGGGGGAUGAAUGGCUUCGGCCCGUAAACCCCUGUCAUUUGCGAACAAACCUUUCGGCAUAACACGUCGAGAGCUGAUUGUAGCGGAAGAGGAAGGGACGGCUAACUCUGUGCCAGCAGCCGCGGUAAUACAGAGGUCCCAAGCGUUGUUCGGAUUCACUGGGCGUAAAGGGUGCGUAGGCGGUCAGAUAAGUCUGAUGUGAAAUCUUCGAGCUCAACUCGGAAACUGCAUCGGAAACUAUCUGGCUAGAGGAUUGGAGGGGAGACUGGAAUUCUCGGUGUAGCAGUGAAAUGCGUAGAUAUCGAGAGGAACACCAGUGGCGAAGGCGAGUCUCUGGACGAUUCCUGACGCUGAGGCACGAAAGCUAGGGGAGCAAACAGGAUUAGAUACCCUGGUAGUCC
rnacentral:rRNA from 1 species